rnacentral:rRNA from 1 species
UACGUAGGGGGCAAGCGUUGUCCGGAUUUAUUGGGCGUAAAAGGCUUGUAGGUGGCCACGCCAAGUCGGAUGUGAAAUCUCCCGGCUCAACUGGGAGGGGUCAUUCGAUACUGGCGGGCUCGAGGCCGGUAGGGGGAAGUGGAAUUCCCGGUGUAGUGGUGGAAUGCGUAGAUAUCGGGAGGAACACCAAUGGCGAAGGCAGCUCGCUGGGACGUGACUGACGCUGAGACGCGAAAGCGUGGGGAGCGAACAGG